rnacentral:tRNA from 1 species
GCCUGGUUGGCUCAGUUGGUUAAGCAUCUGACUGUCGGUUUCAGCUUAGGUUGUGAUCUCACAGUUUCAUGGGUUCAAGCCCCACAUCUGGCU